GACGAACGCUGGCGGCGUGCUUAACACAUGCAAGUCGAACGGAAAGGCUCUGCUUUUGUGGGGUGCUCGAGUGGCGAACGGGUGAGUAACACGUGAGUAACCUGCCCUUGACUUUGGGAUAACUUCAGGAAACUGGGGCUAAUACCGGAUAGGAGCUCCUGCUGCAUGGUGGGGGUUGGAAAGUUUCGGCGGUUGGGGAUGGACUCGCGGCUUAUCAGCUUGUUGGUGAGGUAGUGGCUUACCAAGGCUUUGACGGGUAGCCGGCCUGAGAGGGUGACCGGCCACAUUGGGACUGGGAUACGGCCCAGACUCCUACGGGAGGCAGCAGUGGGGAAUAUUGCAAAAUGGGCGGAAGCCUGAUGAAGCAACGCCGCGUGCGGGAUGACGGCCUUCGGGUUGUAAACCGCUUUCGCCUGUGACGAAGCGUGAGUGACGGUAAUGGGUAAAGAAGCACCGGAUAACUACGUG
rnacentral:rRNA from 1 species